GUGGAGUGAUUGAUUAAAACCCCAUUUGAUUUUGAUGAGCUCAAAGCAUUUGAGUAUAUCUUGUGAUUACUAAUGAAUUCAAUUGAGUGUUUCAGUGAAAAUCCUGUCCAAGUGUUUCUAGACUUGGUUCAUAGUAUUUUGGAUAAGUUAAGAAGUCUGCAUGAACCAAUGUCUGAGACUCAAGUCGACUCCCGAGUAUCACGAAUCGACUCCAAGCGUAUCAAGUUCACUGGCACGAGCUCGAGUCGACUCCAGAUCAGUACGAGUCGACUCCGACUGAGAACAGACAGAAGGACAGAAAGCUUCAACUCAGAAACUGUCAACGAGUCGACUCCCGAAGUACGCGAGUCGACUCCAAUGUUCAACGAGUCGACUCCAGGGUAGUAAGAGUCGACUCCAAAAGAAACACAAAGAAAAGUCAGAGAGCAGUUUUCGGGUCUGAGAUUCGAGUCGACUCCAGUGGAACGCGAGUCGACUCCGAUGGUUGGCAGAUCGACUCCAAGGAAGGUAAGAGUCGACUCU
rnacentral:lncRNA from 1 species